rnacentral:rRNA from 1 species
GAUGAACGCUGGCGGCGUGCCUAAUACAUGCAAGUCGAGCGAACAGACGAGGAGCUUGCUCCUCUGACGUUAGCGGCGGACGGGUGAGUAACACGUGGAUACCUACCUUAUAGGCCUGGGAAACCUUGGGAAACCGGAGGCUAUUCCCGGUAAUUUUUUUAACCCCCAUGGUUCAUUAUUGAAGACGGGUUUUGCGUUACCUAAUGGUUGAUCCGCGCCGCAUUAGCUAGUUGGUAAGGUAACGGCUUACCAAGGCAACGAUGCGUAGCCGACCUGAGAGGGUGAUCGGCCACACUGGAACUGAGACACGGUCCAGACUCCUACGGGAGGCAGCAGUAGGGAAUCUUCCGCAAUGGGCGAAAGCCUGACGGAGCAACGCCGCGUGAGUGAUGAAGGUCUUCGGAUCGUAAAACUCUGUUAUUAGGGAAGAACAAAUGUGUAAGUAACUAUGCACGUCUUGACGGUACCUAAUCAGAAAGCCACGGCUAACUACGUG